rnacentral:rRNA from 1 species
UCAGAAGGCACACCCGGAGAACUGAAACAUCUUAGUACCCGGAGGAAGAGAAAGAAAAUUCGAUUCCCUUAGUAGCGGCGAGCGAAACGGGAAGAGCCCAAACCAACAAGCUUGCUUGUUGGGGUUGUAGGACACUCUAUACGGAGUUACAAAGGACGACAUUAGACGAAUCAUCUGGAAAGAUGAAUCAAAGAAGGUAAUAAUCCUGUAGUCGAAAAUGUUGUCUCUCUUGAGUGGAUCCUGAGUACGACGGAGCACGUGAAAUUCCGUCGGAAUCUGGGAGGACCAUCUCCUAAGGCUAA